AGAGUUUGAUUCUGGCUCAGAACGAACGCUGGCGGCGUGCUUAACACAUGCAAGUCAGGGAGAAAGUCUCUUCGGGGAUGAUUAAACCGGCGCACGGGUGAGUAACACGUGAGUGACCUGCCUUUUAGACUGGAACAACUUACCGAAAGGUGAGCUAAUGCCGGAUGAGUUAUAUAAGUGCAUGUUUAUAUAGGAAAAGUUGGGGAGACCUGACGCUGAAAGAUGGACUCGCGUCCCAUUAGCUAGUUGGUAGGGUAAUGGCCUACCAAGGCGACGAUGGGUAGCCGGCCUGAGAGGGUGGCCGGCCACACUGGGACUGAGACACGGCCCAGACUCCUACGGGAGGCAGCAGUGGGGAAUUUUGCGCAAUGCUCGUAAGAGUGACGCAGCGACGCCGCGUGAAUGACGAAGGCCUUCGGGUCGUAAAGUUCUU
rnacentral:rRNA from 1 species